rnacentral:snRNA from 1 species
AUAAUUACCUGGCAGGGGAGAUACCAUGAUCACAAAGGUGGUUUUCCCAGGGUGAGACUUAUCCAUUGCAUUCCAGAUGUGCUGACCCCUGGGAUUUCCCCAAAUGCAGGAAAUUCAACUGCAUAAUUUGUGGUAGUGGGAGACAGUGUUUGUGCUCUCCCU